GGAAAAAAGGCUGAAAAAAGAAUACUGUCCCGGCAAUGAACUUUUCAGGUGUUGCUGCCCAGUGCUGGCAGUUAGUAGCGAUGACAAUUAUCCACCAGCGUGAGAUUAAAGACAAGGAAGCGAGGGAAUUCUUCCAGUCCUCAGGAACACAAACAGCUAGGAGUCCAUACAGUGAAAGAAGUUAACCUUCGUUGUUACGAGGAUGGCUGUAAGAAGCUGGACAACCUGUCACCACCGGAGCAAUAGCAUUUGUCAGUUCGCAGGUCCCAAGUUAUUUUGAGCAGCGUAAACCAUGUGCCUGCAGAGCAUUCCACCUCAUUGGACAGGAGAAUAUCGAGCACAGGGAAUCCACUGCUCCGACAGCACCUAUGGGCACUGAGUGCCUUCUCCUCACC
rnacentral:lncRNA from 1 species